AACCCUGAUGCAGCUAUACCGUGUGUGUGAAGAAGGCCUUAGGGUUGUAAAGCACUUUCAAUGGGGAAGAAUUUAAUAUUGCUAAUAUCGAUAUUAAUUGACGUUACCUAUAUAAGAAGCACCGGCUAACUCCGUGCCAGCAGCCGCGGUAAUACGGAGGGUGCAAGCGUUAAUCGGAAUUGCUGGGCGUAAAGAGUACGUAGGUGGUUUGUUAAGUCAGAUGUGAAAUCCCUGAGCUUAACUUAGGAACUGCAUUUGAAACUAAUAAACUAGAGUUUCGUAGAGGGGGGUAGAAUUCCAGGUGUAGCGGUGAAAUGCGUAGAGAUCUGGAGGAAUACCAGUGGCGAAGGCGACCCCCUGGACGGAAACUGACACUCAGGUACGGAAGCAUGGGGAGCAAACAGGAUUAGAUACCCUGGUAGUCCAUGCCGUAAACGAUGUCGAUUUGAA
rnacentral:rRNA from 1 species